rnacentral:rRNA from 1 species
CCCUUAGAUGAUUUGGGCUGCGCGCGCGCUACACUGACCCUAACAAUGAGCAACUGUCUGGCCUGAGAUGGCUGGGUAGCCUUUUCAACCCAUGUCAUGAUUGGGCUAGAUUUUUGUAAGUCUUGAUCUCUAACGAGGAAUCCCUAGUAUGCGUGAAUCAUCAAUCCAUGCAGAUUAUGUCCCUGCCCUUUGUACACACCGCCCGCCGCUCCUACUGAUUGGGUGAUCCGGUGAGCUGUUCGGCCAUAGCAAUGUUUCUUGAGCAGGGCAAUGAAUGUUUCGCAAACCUUGCCACUUAGAGGAAGGAGAAGUCGUAACA